AGUCAGACAGUGUGAGAUAAGUUUCAUUGUCGAAAGGGAAACAGCCCAGAUCUACGACUAAGGUCCCAAAGUUCAAGUUAAGUGGAAAAGGAUGUGCAAUUGCGUAGACAACCAGGAUGUUGGCUUAGUAGCAGCCACACAUUCAAAGAGUGCGUAAUAGCUCACUGGUCGAGUGAUUGUGCGCCGAAAAUGUAACGGGGCUAAACUUGACACCGAAGUCUAGGCAGAAGGAAACUUCUGGGUAGGGGAGCAACGUGUACGGGUAGAAGCAGAAGCGGAAGCGACUGUGGACUGUACAGGAGAGAGAAUGCCGGCAUGAGUAGCGAGAGCAAAGUGAGAAUCUUUGCCGUCGAAAGCCUAAGGUUUCCUGAGGAAGGCUCGUCCUCUCAGGGUAAGUCGGGACCUAAGCCGAGGACAAUAGUCGUAGGCGAUGGACAAUCGGUUAAUAUUCCGAUACCGCCGAGCAACCGGAUGCAGUGACACAGAAGGAUAGGCAGAGCGUGGCGAUGGUAGACCACGUCCAAGCAGUGAGGCUGUUGUGUAGUGAAGUACGCACAACGUAAGGCUGGGCUGUGAUGGGGAACGAUUACGAUCGGUAAGCUGCUGAAUUCACGCUGGCGAGAAAAGCUGCUACGAAGCGAAGGCGCCCGUACCGCAAACCGACACAGGUAGGCGAGGAGAGAAUCCUAAGACGAGCGGGAGAACCCUUGUUAAGGAACUCGGCAAAAUGACUCCGUAACUUAGGGAGAAGGAGUGCCCAGGAAUGGGCCGCAGAGAAUAGACCCAAGCGACUGUUUACCAAAAACACAGGUCUGUGCGAAGUAGAGAUACGACGUAUACGGGCUGACACCUGCCCAGUGCCGGAAGGUUAAGGGGAAAUGUUAGGGCAACCGAAGCAUGGAACUUAAGCCCCGGUGAACGGCGGCCGUAACUAUAACGGUCCUAAGGUAGCGAAAUUCCUUGUCGGGUAAGUUCCGACCCGCACGAAUGGUGUAACGAUUUGGGUACUGUCUCAACAAGGGACCCGGCGAAAUUGUAGUAUGUGUGAAGAUGCACAUUACCCGCGAUAGGACGGAAAGACCCCGUAGAGCUUUACUGUAGUUUAACAUUGGAUUCCGGUAACAUAUGCACAGGAUAGGUGGGAGGCGGAGAAGCAGUGAUUUCGGUUGCUGCAGAGCCGACGUUGGGAUACCACUCUUGUGUUACUGGGGUUCUAACCUGUGGCCGUGAUCCGGCACAGGAACAGUGUUAGAUGGGCAGUUUGACUGGGGCGGUCGCCUCCAAAAGAGUAACGGAGGCGUCCAAAGGUUCCCUCAGAAUGGUUGGAAACCAUUCGAAGAGUACAAAGGCAGAAGGGAGCCUGACUGCGAGACCGACAGGUCGAGCAGGGACGAAAGUCGGGCUUAGUGAUCCGGC
rnacentral:rRNA from 1 species